GCCGCGAUCGCAUAACCUGGUAUUGCGCUGGCCUUGAGAGCCAGUUUCCUUCGGGAUAUGGGGGUUCGAAUCCCUCUCGCGGCG
rnacentral:tRNA from 1 species